CCUACGGGUGGCAGCAGUGGGGGAUAUUGGACAAUGGGCGAAAGCCUGCUCCAGCAACGCCGCGUGGGUGAAGACGUCCUUCGGAAUUUAAAGCCCUUUCGUCAGGGACGAAGCACGACGGUCCCUGACUAUGAUGCACCGGCUCCAUCAGUGCACGCAGCCGCGGUACUACGUCGGGGGCGAGCGUUAUCCGAAUUCACUGUGUGUAAAGGGGGCGUAGACGGCGAAGCAAGCCAGAGGUGAAAGCCCGGGGCCCAACCCCGGGACUGCACUUGUGAAGGCAUGUCUGGAGUGCGGGAGGGGCAGGCGGAAUUCCUGGUGUAGCGGUGAAAUGCGUAGAUAUCAGGAGGAACACCGGCGGCGAAGGCGGCCUGCUGGACCGCGACUGACGUUGAGGCUCGAAAGCGUGGGGAGCGAACAGGAUUAGAUACCCCUGUAGUC
rnacentral:rRNA from 1 species